rnacentral:rRNA from 1 species
GACGAACGCUGGCGGCGUGCCUAAUACAUGCAAGUAGAACGCUGAAGGAGGAGCUUGCUUCUCUGGAUGAGUUGCGAACGGGUGAGUAACGCGUAGGUAACCUGCCUGGUAGCGGGGGAUAACUAUUGGAAACGAUAGCUAAUACCGCAUAAGAGUAGAUGCUGCAUGACAUUUGCUUAAAAGGUGCAAUUGCAUCACUACCAGAUGGACCUGCGUUGUAUUAGCUAGUUGGUGGGGUAACGGCUUACGAAGGCGGCGAUACAUAGCCGACCUGAGAGGGUGAUCGGCCACACUGGGACGGAGACACGGCCCAGACGCCUACGGGAGGAAGCAGUAGGGAUUCUUCGGCAAGGGGCGGAAGUCUGACCGAGAAACGCCGCGUGAGUGAAGAAGGUUGUCGGAUCGUAAAGGUCUGUUGUAAGAGAAGAACGAGUGUGAGAGUGGAAAGUUCACACUGUGACGGUAUCUGACCAGAAAGGGACGGCUAACUACGUG